CUUAAGAAACAAUGAAAUUUCAUGGGCCAUAGAAGAUGCUAGUGAAGCUUUUGCUGGACUUACAAGUCUCACUAAAUUAAUCUUACAAGGAAAUCAAAUUAAGUCAAUUACAAAGAAAGCAUUCAUUGGUCUUGAAUCCCUUGAGCAUCUCGAUUUGAACAACAAUGCUAUAAUGUCUAUCCAAGAAAAUGCUUUUUCUCAGACUCGCUUGAAAGAACUGUACGUAACUUAAGUUUUUUUUUGUCACCAGUCAUUAGAUCAUUAUCCAUGCUUGUGCUUAAAGUGUGAUGAAUGUGACCCAUGUGUUUCCAAAAACACACAGUAUAGGCAGGAAAAAAAAGAAAUGUUAAUAUUCAGUUAUUUUAGUGGCUGGAUAUAAUUUUAAAAUAACCCAAGAUUGAAAAGCCUAGAGUUUGUGGCACCAAGACCCUCUGUUUUGCCUGUGCUUACAGUUAAAGAGACCUUAGCAUGGCUCCUUGUGCUUUAAGUAUAUCCUGUUCCUUUUUUUCCCCCCUGUUUAUUUUUGGAUUAUUGGAAAAAUGUGUUCCCAGUCUCCUUAGGUGGGAACCUUAGGGUGGAUUACAGUUAAGGUAUUAGGUAAUUUGUUGGAGAUAAUUUAGCAGUU